GACGAACGCUGGCGGCGUGCUUAACACAUGCAAGUCGAACGGAAAGGCCCUGCUUUUGUGGGGUGCUCGAGUGGCGAACGGGUGAGUAACACGUGAGUAACCUGCCCUUGACUUUGGGAUAACUUCAGGAAACUGGGGCUAAUACCGGAUAGGAGCUCCUGCUGCAUGGUGGGGGUUGGAAAGUUUCGGCGGUUGGGGAUGGACUCGCGGCUUAUCAGCUUGUUGGUGGGGUAGUGGCUUACCAAGGCUUUGACGGGUAGCCGGCCUGAGAGGGUGACCGGCCAAAUUGGGACUGAGAUACGGCCCAGACUCCUACGGGAGGCAGCAGUGGGGAAUAUUGAACAAUGGGCGGAAGCCUGAUGCAGCAACGCCGCGUGCGGGAUGAAGGACUUCGGGUUGUAAACCGCUGUCGCCUGUGACGAAGCGUGAGUGACGGUAAUGGGUAAAGAAGCACCGGCUAACUACGUG
rnacentral:rRNA from 1 species